rnacentral:rRNA from 1 species
UACGUAGGGUGCAAGCGUUAAUCGGAAUUAUUGGGCGUAAAGAGCUCGUAGGCGGCUUGUCGCGUCGACUGUGAAAACCCGCGGCUCAACCGCGGGCCUGCAGCCGAUACGGGCAGGCUAGAGUUCGGUAGGGGAGACUGGAAUUCCUGGUGUAGCGGUGAAAUGCGCAGAUAUCAGGAGGAACACCGGUGGCGAAGGCGGGUCUCUGGGC